GAUGAACGCUGGCGGCGUGCCUAAUACAUGCGAGUCGAGCGAACGGACGAGAAGCUUGCUUCUCUGAUGUUAGCGGCGGACGGGUGAGUAACACGUGGAUAACCUACCUAUAAGACUGGGAUAACUUCGGGAAACCGUAGCUAAUACCGGAUAAUAUUUUGAACCGCAUGGUUCAAAAGUGAAAGACGGUCUUGCUGUCACUUAUAGAUGGAUCCGCGCUGCAUUAGCUAGUUGGUAAGGUAACGGCCUACCAAGGCAACGAUGCAUAGCCGACCUGAGAGGGUGAUCGGCCACACUGGAACUGAGACACGGUCCAGACUCCUACGGGAGGCAGCAGUAGGGAAUCUUCCGCAAUGGGCGAAAGCCUGACGGAGCAACGCCGCGUGAGUGAUGAAGGUCUUCGGAUCGUAAAACUCUGUUAUUAGGGAAGAACAUAUGUGUAAGUAACUGUGCACAUCUUGACGGUACCUAAUCAGAAAGCCACGGCUAACUACGUG
rnacentral:rRNA from 1 species